AACCAACCAUCACAAGCAAAGAAAACGUAAACAGUUGCAAAAGAAAGAAAAGCUAAUAAGAAAACAUCAUCCACAUGAUGAACAUACCAUCAAAUCCAUCAAGUCGUCAUGUCACAAAUCUACCUAAAUAUUAAAAGCAAGUUUAACAUUCAAUACAAUAAAAUAAAUAUUAAAUACAAAAAAUAACUAAUCCAAUAUCUCUACCACAACACAUCAAAUUCUAGGUAGUUGUCAAAAUUAGCAAAAACAUCACAAGCAAAGAGUACUUCAACUUAAGCACAAAACAUACCACCAUCAUAGCCACUAACUCAUCAUGACACUAAUCCCACUAUCCCCUUAAUAAACUAAAGUACGAUUAACACUCGAUACAAU
rnacentral:lncRNA from 1 species